rnacentral:rRNA from 1 species
GACGUAGGGCGCGAGCGUUGUCCGGAUUUAUUGGGCGUAAAGAGCUCGUAGGCGGCUUGUCGCGUCGACUGUGAAAACCCGCGGCUCAACUGCGGGCUUGCAGUCGAUACGGGCAGGCUAGAGUUCGGUAGGGGAGACUGGAAUUCCUGGUGUAGCGGUGAAAUGCGUAGAUAUCGGGAGGAACACCAGUGGCGAAGGCGACUACCUGGCCUGUUCUUGACGCUGAGGCGCGAAAGCUAGGGGAGCAAACAGG